AAAAACCCUAGUCGUCUUCCUCGUCUUCUCCGACCAAUCUCACCGGAGUCGAUGGCUUCUCAGGCCAUGGACAGCCUAUGCUCACCCUCGUCCACUCCUAAGCCCGUUUUUUCGAGAUUUUGAGGUUUGACCUUGAUGGUGUUCGAGCAGAUCCUCCAUAGAUCUUAGGUUUUAUGGCCUUUCUGGCUCCAUUCCGACCUAUUCGAGCCUUAAGUGCUUAGCUAGGCUCAGACCUGUUCGAUACCAGACCCUUUCCAAGCCUUCUUAUUUUUAGGGUUUCAAAGAAUCCCUAAAGCUGUUCGAGGUUCCUUCUUAUUUUAUUUUCUUAGAUCUGUGGUAAAUCUGUGAUAUAUAUUUAAAGUAUUAAAGCUUUUCC
rnacentral:lncRNA from 1 species